GGUUGUGGCUGAGUGGUAGAGCACUUGCCUAGCAUGCGUGAUGCACUGGGUUCGAUUCUCAGCAACACA
rnacentral:tRNA from 1 species